GACGAACGCUGGCGGCGUGCCUAAUACAUGCAAGUCGAACGAGAGCGACCGGUGCUUGCACUGGUCAAUCUAGUGGCGAACGGGUGAGUAACACGUGGGUAACCUGCCCAUCAGAGGGGGAUAACAUCCGGAAACGGAUGCUAAAACCGCAUAGGUCUUCGAGCCGCAUGGCUUGAAGAGGAAAAGAGGCGCUAGCUUCUGCUGAUGGAUGGACCCGCGGUGCAUUAGCUAGUUGGUGAGGUAACGGCUCACCAAGGCCGUGAUGCAUAGCCGACCUGAGAGGGUGAUCGGCCACAUUGGAACUGAGACACGGCCCAAACUCCUACGGGAGGCAGCAGUAGGGAAUCUUCCGCAAUGGACGCAAGUCUGACGGAGCAACGCCGCGUGAGUGAAGAAGGUUUUCGGAUCGUAAAACUCUGUUGUUAGAGAAGAACAAGUGCUAGAGUAACUGUUAGCGCCUUGACGGUAUCUAACCAGAAAGCCACGGCUAACUACGUG
rnacentral:rRNA from 1 species